UUUCCCUCAGGAUAGCUGGCACUCGCUUGAGCGAGUCUCAUCUGGUAAAGCGAAUGAUUAGAGGCCUUGGGGCCGAAACGACCUCAACCUAUUCUCAAACUUUAAAUGGGUGAGAUCUCUGGCUUGCUUGAACGUUGAAGCCACGAGAUUUAGGUGGCACACCUUGUGUGUGCGACCGAUUGGAUCAGAGUGCCAAGUGGGCCAAUUUUGGUAAGCAGAACUGGCGCUGUGGGA
rnacentral:rRNA from 1 species